UAAUUGGAGAGUUUGAUCCUGGCUCAGAGCGAACGCUAGCGGCGCGCUUAACACAUGCAAGUCGCACGAGAAAGAGGGGCAACCCUUUAGUAAAGUGGCGCACGGGUGAGUAACACGUGGGUAAUCUCCCCCCGAGACUGGAAUAACCCGCCGAAAGGUGGGCUAAUACCGGAUAAGACCACGGG
rnacentral:ncRNA from 1 species